rnacentral:rRNA from 1 species
AUUGAACGCUGGCGGCAGGCCUAACACAUGCAAGUCGAACGGUAGCACAGAGAGCUUGCUCUCGGGUGACGAGUGGCGGACGGGUGAGUAACGCCUGGGAAACUGCCCGAUGGAGGGGGAUAACUACUGGAAACGGUAGCUAAUACCGCAUAACGUCGCAAGACCAAAGUGGGGGACCUUCGGGCCUCCCACCACCGGAUGUGCCCGGAGGGGCUUAGCUAGUAGGUGGGGUAAUGGCUCACCUAGGCGAAGAUCCCUAGCUGGUCUGAGAGGAUGGCCAGCCACACUGGAACUGAGGCACGGUCCAGACUCCUACGGGAGGCAGCAGUGGGGAAUAUUGCACAAUGGGCGCAAGCCCGAUGCAGCCAUGCCGCGUGUAUGAAGAAGGCCUUCGGGUUGUAAAGUACUUUCAGCGGGGAGGAAGGCGGUGAAGUUAACAGCUUCACCGAUUGACGUUACCCGCAGAAGAAGCACCGGCUAACUCCGUGCCAGCCGCCGCCGUAA